CCUCUCUCAGGGUCACACCUGGAGAGUUUCCAGUACUCUACCAGUCAUCGCCAAGGGAGGGAGAGUCAAGCAGAAGCCUACCAUUCCAUUCCUAGCUUGAGCAAUGGCUAGCGAGUGGAAGGCGAUCUGCUACAAGU